UACGUAGGUGGCAAGCGUUGUCCGGAUUUACUGGGUGUAAAGGGCGCGUAGGCGGGAAUAUAAGUCAGGUGUGAAAUCUAUGGGCUCAACCCAUAAACUGCACUUGAAACUGUAUUUCUCGAGUGAUGGAGAGGCAGGCGGAAUUCCUAGUGUAGCGGUGAAAUGCGUAGAUAUUAGGAGGAACACCAGUGGCGAAGGCGGCCUGCUGGACAUUAACUGACGCUGAGGCGCGAAAGCGUGGGGAGCAAACAGGAUUAGAUA
rnacentral:rRNA from 1 species